ACGUGGUAUCCUGUCUGAAUAUGGGGGGACCAUCCUCCAAGGCUAAAUACUCCUGACUGACCGAUAGUGAACCAGUACCGUGAGGGAAAGGCGAAAAGAACCCCGGCGAGGGGAGUGAAAAAGAACCUGAAACCGUGUACGUACAAGCAGUGGGAGCACCCUUUGGGGUGUGACUGCGUACCUUUUGUAUAAUGGGUCAGCGACUUAUAUUCUGUAGCAAGGUUAACCGUAUAGGGGAGCCGGAGGGAAACCGAGUCUUAACCGGGCGUUAAGUUGCAGGGUAUAGACCCGAAACCCGGUGAUCUAGCCAUGGGCAGGUUGAAGGUUGGGUAACACUAACUGGAGGACCGAACCGACUAAUGUUGAAAAAUUAGCGGAUGACCUGUGGCUGGGGGUGAAAGGCCAAUCAAACCGGGAGAUAGCUGGUUCUCCCCGAAAGCUAUUUAGGUAGCGCCUCGUGAAUUCAUCUCCGGGGGUAGAGCACUGUUUCGGCUAGGGGGCCAUCCCGGCUUACCAACCCGAUGCAAACUGCGAAUACCGGAGAAUGUUAUCACGGGAGACACACGGCGGGUGCUAACGUCCGUCGUGAAGAGGGAAACAACCCAGACCGCCAGCUAAGGUCCCAAAGUCAUGGUUAAGUGGGAAACGAUGUGGGAAGGCCCAGACAGCCAGGAUGUUGGCUUAGAAGCAGCCAUCAUUUAAAGAAAGCGUAAUAGCUCACUGGUCGAGUCGGCCUGCGCGGAAGAUGUAACGGGGCUAAACCAUGCACCGAAGCUGCGGCAGCGACGCUGAUGCGUUGUUGGGUAGGGGAGCGUUCUGUAAGCCUGCGAAGGUGGCCUGUGAGGGUUGCUGGAGGUAUCAGAAGUGCGAAUGCUGACAUAAGUAACGAUAAAGCGGGUGAAAAGCCCGCUCGCCGGAAGACCAAGGGUUCCUGUCCAACGUUAAUCGGGGCAGGGUGAGUCGACCCCUAAGGCGAGGCCGAAAGGCGUAGUCGAUGGGAAACGGGUUAAUAUUCCCGUACUUGGUGUUACUGCGAAGGGGGGACGGAGAAGGCUAUGUUGGCCGGGCGACGGUU
rnacentral:rRNA from 1 species